rnacentral:tRNA from 1 species
GGUAUGGUGGCUGAGUUGUAAAGUGCUUGGCUUCCAAACCAGUGGUCCUGGGUUCAAAUCCUGGUAAAAACU